CGAGCCAGAGCCUCUUGGUACAAACUAAAAACAUUCGUUUUCCUCUCUUUCUCUCUCUAGAAACGUUAUUUGCUCCUCUCUCUCUAGCAAUAUCUCCAAACAAAAAAUUGGGAGGUUUUUGGGGGAGGAUUGAUUCUCUUUCUUUUGUUACUCUCUCUUUUUUCUCCCUUUAUACAAAGACUUUGUGGUGGUCUCUCUCUGCAAAGAGUUUGCGGUGGCCAUGAAUUGCUUGAAAUUGAAGCUGGUGCUCUUUCUUCUCUCUCUAAUUGAGAUGUCGCAGGUGGGCUAUGGCCAAGAUCUGGGCAUGGCUCCUACACCUUCAACAGGUGGUCCUUCAAAUGACGGCACGACGAUUGAUCAAGGGAUCGCUUAUGUUCUUCUAUUUGCAGCACUUGUUAUUACCUAUUUGGUCCAUUAAUUCCUUUUUUUCUUUUAUUAAUCCCAUUGUACUCUAGAUAUUCAUUUAUCAAAAUACUGGAUAUUAAUUAUUCAAUAUUGUACACAUUUGCAACUA